GGUCUGGUGGUCUAGCGGUAUGAUUCUCGCUUAGGGUUCACCCUGAGACGAGCUGCGAAAGCGGUUCAACAAUUUGCGAGAGGUCCCGGGUUCAAUUCCCGGCCAGACCC